CUGAGCCGUACUCCGUGUCUAUACAUGCAAGUCGAGCGGACAGAUGGGAGCUUGCUCCCUGAUGUUAGCGGCGGACGGGUGAGUAACACGUGGGUAACCUGCCUGUAAGACUGGGAUAACUCCGGGAAACCGGGGCUAAUACCGGAUGGUUGUUUGAACCGCAUGGUUCAAACAUAAAAGGUGGCUUCGGCUACCACUUACAGAUGGACCCGCGGCGCAUUAGCUAGUUGGGGAGGAACGGCUCACCCAGGCAACGAUGCGUAACCGACCUGAAAGGGUGAUCGGCCACACUGGGACUGAACACGGCCCAGACUCCUACGGGAGGCAGCAUAAGGAAUUUUC
rnacentral:rRNA from 1 species